CGAAAGCCUGAUCCAGCCAUGCCGCGUGUGUGAAGAAGGCCUUCGGGUUGUAAAGCACUUUAAGCGAGGAGGAAAUGUUCUAGGUUAAUACCCUUGAGCAAUGACGUUACUCGCAGAAUAAGCACCGGCUAACUCUGUGCCAGCAGCCGCGGUAAUACAGAGGGUGCAAGCGUUAAUCGGAAUUACUGGGCGUAAAGCGCGCGUAGGCGGUUACGUAAGUUGGAGGUGAAAUCCCCGAGCUCAACUUGGGAAUUGCCUUCAAAACUGCGUGGCUAGAGUGUGGGAGAGGAAGGUAGAAUUCCAGGUGUAGCGGUGAAAUGCGUAGAUAUCUGNGNGGAAUACCGAUGGCGAAGGCAGCCUUCUGGCCUAACACUGACGCUGAGGUGCGAAAGCAUGGGGAGCAAACAGGAUUAGAUACCCUGGUAGUCCAUGCCGUAAACGAUGUCUACUAGCCGUUGGGGGACUUGAUCCUUUAGUGGCGCAGCUAACGCAUUAAGUAGACCGCCUGGGGAGUACGGUCUGCAAGACUAAAACUCAAAUGAAUUGACGGGGGCCCGCACAAGCGGUGGAGCAUGUGGUUUAAUUCGAUGCAACGCGAAGAACCUUACCUAGCCUUGACAUGUCCGGAAUCUUGCAGAGAUGCGAGAGUGCCUUCGGGAAUCGGAACACAGGUGCUGCAUGGCUGUCGUCAGCUCGUGUCGUGAGAUGUUGGGUUAAGUCCCGCAACGAGCGCAACCCUUGUCCUUAGUUGCCAGCACGUAAUGGUGGGAACUCUAGGGAGGCUGCCGGUGACAAACCGGAGGAAGGCGGGGACGACGUCAAGUCAUCAUGGCCCUUACGGCUAGGGCUACACACGUGCUACAAUGGUCGGUACAAAGGGUUGCCAACUCGCGAGAGUGCGCUAA
rnacentral:rRNA from 1 species